UUUUUUUUUUUUUUAAAGGGUUUUGGCUUGGCCACUGGGCCUUUAAGCCAUGUCUUUAUUUUCACAUUUCACAGCACAGUUGCACUUUCACUUCUUCACUAUAUUUUAUUGAAGGUAUUUUUAAUAUAAUAGUAUAUAGCAUUAAAGCACACUUUUAAUUUUAGUAGCAUAAUGAGGCGGCGGGAGGGAUUAUCUUCAUUUGUUAUAAAUUCACUCACUUCACUUGCAAAAACUAAACGUUCCAUGUUGUGGGUAGGGCAUUCAAAAAACAUAUGUUCUAGCGUUCCAACAGCAUUUUGACAUGAUAAACAUGUGCUAUCUUCUAUUAUGUUAAAUCUUUUUAAAUGCGAUGGUGCUUUUGUGUGACCAAAUCUCAGUCUAUUCAUUGUUGUGAUAAAAUCUCGACUGGCUAUUUUCAAAUCAUUAUACCAGGGCUUCGAAGGAGAAUCUGAGACAAAUUGGGACUUCUGUUGCAUAACAAAUCAUCACCUGAGGUCAUAGGUGUUUGAUGGACAAUUGAAUUAGAUCUGAGAUAAGGGAGACGAAACUGUCAGCACAACUUCUGCCUUUUCUGAAGCCAUAUUGAACAUUGGGAAUCAAGCCAUUUGACUCAACAAACCAAUCAAGACGAGUUUUAAUCAUAUUUUCAAAUAUUUUACCUAAACAUGAAGAGAGAGAAAUGGGUCUAUAUGAAUUUGGAUCUUCUGGAGGCUUAUCUUGUUUUAAAACAGGAAUAACACAUUGAGUCUUCCAAGAUUGUGGGAUUAUUUGAUUCACCCAAAGACUAUUAAGUAUAUUUAAAAAUAAUUUCUGCACUGAAGUAUCUAAUUUUUUUAUAAGAAUAUAAGGAAAAUCAUCUAAUCCAGGUGAUGUAUUCUUUCGCGAGUUCAAACUAUUUUCAAAUUCGUGGAAAGUAAAUUUUUGUAUAAGAAAACUUGAUUUAAUGUCAGAAUUAUGAAGAUAAAAAUAGGUAUUUAAUUCAUGAAUGUGUAAGCCGGUUUCUGUUAACUUAUCAAAAAAUCCAUCAAUGAAUUCGUCUGAAUAAGAUUUAUUGGAAGCUUUUCUAUGUUUAAACAUUUUAAUGUAAUUCCAUAUUUUACUUAUCGGUGUAGUUCUAUUAAAACUAUUACAUAGUCUACUCCAUCCGUUUUUCUUUUCUUCUGAUAUUGUUCUUUUUUUAAUAGCAUUUAAUCUUUGAUAUUUUACAAAAUUUCCUAUUGUAGGAUUACUUCUAUAAUACUUUAAAGCUUCAUAAGAGUCUGUAACACUUUUUUCACAUCUAUCGUUCCACCAAGGAGCUGGUAGUUUACUUUUGUAUGAGCUAGGUUUUGUAAAUUUCCUAAUGCAUUCUUCUUUAAGAGAGUUUAGCUUGUUACAAAAAUAUUCAUAAGUUUCUAAAGGAUUAUCACUAUUAAUGGUAAAAUUUGUAAAAAAGGACUUAGAAAGUUCGUGGUAUUUUUGCCAGUUUGCUUUACUGUACAUAAAUUUAUCUAUUGGAGGAUUUAUUUGAUAUCUAUCAAUUGAAAGUGCAAUAGUAAUGAUCACAGGAAAGUGGUAGCUACCCAUAUUGUCAUCGUGAACAGUCCAAUCACACAAGGGUGCAAUGGCUGAGCUGGUAAAAGCGACAUCUAUAGCCGAUGGGUUUCGAUUAGGAUAAUUAAUAGUAGUAAAAUUACCAUCGUUAAGGAUACAUAAAUCCAAUUCAUCUAUAACAUUGUAUAAUUGUUGUCCUCGUCCUUUAGUGGAUAAGCACCCAAAAGCAAUAUGGUGAGCAUUAAAAUCACCUGAUACUAAAAUAGGUUUAGGCAGAUAUCUAAUUAGAUUACGUAAUUUAUUAAUUCUAAUAUGACUACUUGUAGGUGGACAAUAUACACAUAAUAGAGUUAGUUCUCCACAUCCUGUAGAAAUUGAUAUAGCUAUUGUUUGAAUAUCUUCGUAAAAGACAGUGUUAAUUAAUUUGUAUUUGAUAUAAGGACGAAUUAAGAUGGCAACACCACCAUGCUCAUUUUUUGCAUUUUUAAAAUGAAGAUUGUAACCGGGUAUUGAAAUAUGUUGGUUCUCCUUAAACCAUGUUUCAUUUAAAAGGCAAAUAUCAAGAUUUUUUUCCUGUAGAAAUUUGAUAAGUAACGGCUUUUUGUUAUUUAAACUUUGAAUAUUAAAUUGAGCUAUUUUGAGUUGUGUUAUGUUCAAGUUAUUAUCCAUAUUAGGUUAGGUUUUUAAAUAAUAAUUCUUUGAUAAAUGACGUAGUUAUAGGAUUAUCGUCGCUCUUAUUACCCAGUUGUAUUAGGGUGCUCACUAUGACGUUAACUAGGUCAUCAUUGUUGAUUAGCUGCGUCUUUAAGUCAACAGCCUUAGGCGAAAAGUCUUGUGAGACAGGUUCGUUACCUUUUUGUUUAUUUUUAUUUACAUUGUUAGAUACACUUUGUACAGACUUGUUUACAUUCUUAUUAUUAAACUUAUUACUAUUUA